AGAGCUUUGAGGUCGAGGCGAGGAGACUGAACUGCCCUUAUGGCUCACCCCCGGCGUUUGGGCCCAUCCUCACCCGGAGGCCCCUAUGCGGAGCUUGAGGAGAGGAGAGGAACGUGCAGUGUCGGGAAACUGUUGCAGUUGGACCCAGGGUCGGCCCGCGAGCCGCACGUGGCCGGCCCGCAUCCCCGCGCGCACGUGCCAGUCCCGCCACCAGCCGCUUGGGCCUGUGUGAGCUUUUCCUUUAAGGAGAAAGCCUUGCCGCCGCCCUUUGGCCUGCGCUCACUCCCGUUGUCCAGCGGUUGCUCCUGUCCUGGCAGCCCCUGGCAAGGGAGGGUGUGAAGGCCCCCGGGGUCUCGCUCUUCUCGGAGCACACUAAUGGCCGGAGACGGUUAUCGCGCCCCAGCGCCCUAGGUUGCACAAACUGCCUGAGUCCGAACUGCCCCACCCCCGCCAGCGGGCUUUACUGUGAU
rnacentral:lncRNA from 1 species